rnacentral:rRNA from 1 species
CCUACGGGUGGCAGCAGUCGAGAAUCUUUCACAAUGGGGGAAACCCUGAUGCUGCGACGCCGCGUGGGGGAAUGAAGCUCUUCGGAUUGUAAAUCCCUGUCUUGUGGGAGCAAAUUACUAAGAUAGUACCACAAGAGGAAGCGACGGCUAACUCUGUGCCCGCAGCCGCGGUAAUACAGCGGUCUCAAGCGUUGUUCGGAAUCACUGGGCGUAAAGCGUGCGUAGGCUGUUUCGUAAGUCGUGUGUGAAAGGCGCGGGCUCAACCCGCGGACGGCACAUGAUACUGCGAGACUAGAGUAAUGGAGGGGUAACCGGAAUUCUGGGUGUAGCAGUGAAAUGCGUAGAUAUCGAGAGGAACACUCGUGGCGAAAGCGGGUUCCUGGACAUUAACUGACGCUGAGGCACGAAGGCCAGGGGAGCGAAAGGGAUUAGAUACCCUGGUAGUC